GCCUGGCCCUGGAGUCCUCUCUCGAGUCCGGAGGCUGGAAGAACCCACGCAGUGGGCAGUGGAUCAGGCUUGGGGCCCUAGAAGUCACUCUCCACCGUCUCCUGCGGCCUCCAGAACCCCCUGGCUCUGCCAGGAAAAGCGACAAGGCCUUUGAACCGCGCAGGCUCUGGGCUCCUUGCUGAGCAAGGGCUGAAGAGGCAAACCACUUGGCCGGCCGUGCCAGCUGGGAGCCGGGGCCCAGCAAGAGCGCAGAGUUAUGGGGCAGUGCUAAGUGCUCUGUUUGUACGAAACUGCCAAAAUGUUAGUACAAAGUGGGCGAAGGUCUUCUGGAAGGCAAGAGGAGGAUGUACCUGAACUGUGGCGUCUGGCAGGGUUCCUCUUUUGCUUGAGCUGUGUCCCUCUGAGCAUGUCCCUUCUCAGGUUCUCAAGGGUGUUAUAAGCCAACGCACAGCCUGAAGGUUUUAAGGUGCUGAUCGGUCUUCCCCUGACAGGGGACGUGUAUCUGUGUGCACACACAUGCAGAGACUUUGUUCAGCUUAUCCCUAGGGGUGGAGA